rnacentral:rRNA from 1 species
AACGAACGCUGGCGGCAUGCCUAACACAUGCAAGUCGAACGAGACCUUCGGGUCUAGUGGCGCACGGGUGCGUAACGCGUGGGAACCUGCCCUUAGGUUCGGAAUAACUCCCCGAAAGGGGUGCUAAUACCGGAUAAUGUCUUCGGACCAAAGAUUUAUCGCCUUUGGAUGGGCCCGCGUUGGAUUAGCAAGUUGGUAGGGUAAAAGCCUACCAAGGCGACGAUCCAUAGCUGGUCUGAGAGGAUGAUCAGCCACACUGGGACUGAGACACGGCCCAGACUCCUACGGGAGGCAGCAGUGGGGAAUAUUGGACAAUGAGCGAAAGCCUGAUCCAGCAAUGCCGCGUGAGUGAUGAAGGCCUUAGGGUUGUAAAGCUCUUUUACCCGGGAUGAUAAUGACAGUACCGGGAGAAUAAGCUCCGGCUAACUCCGUG